UCGGAGUGCUUGCACUCUGUGAAACAAGAUACAGGCUAGCGGCGGACGGGUGAGUAACACGUGGGUAACCUGCCCAAGAGAUCGGGAUAACACCUGGAAACAGAUGCUAAUACCGGAUAACAACAGAUGAUGCCUAUCAACUGUUUAAAAGAUGGUUCUGCUAUCACUCUUGGAUGGACCUGCGGUGCAUUAGCUAGUUGGUAGGGUAACGGCCUACCAAGGCGAUGAUGCAUAGCCGAGUUGAGAGACUGAUCGGCCACAUUGGGACUGAGACACGGCCCAAACUCCUACGGGAGGCAGCAGUAGGGAAUCUUCCACAAUGGACGCAAGUCUGAUGGAGCAACGCCGCGUGAGUGAAGAAGGGUUUCGGCUCGUAAAGCUCUGUUGUUGGUGAAGAAGGACAGGGGUAGUAACUGACCUUUGUUUGACGGUAAUCAAUUAGAAAGUCACGGCUAACUACGUGCCAGCAGCCGCGGUAAUACGUAGGUGGCAAGCGUUGUCCGGAUUUAUUGGGCGUAAAGCGAGUGCAGGCGGCUCGAUAAGUCUGAUGUGAAAGCCUUCGGCUCAACCGGAGAAUUGCAUCAGAAACUGUCGAGCUUGAGUACAGAAGAGGAGAGUGGAACUCCAUGUGUAGCGGUGAAAUGCGUAGAUAUAUGGAAGAACACCGGUGGCGAAGGCGGCUCUCUGGUCUGUUACUGACGCUGAGGCUCGAAAGCAUGGGUAGCGAACAGGAUUAGAUACCCUGGUAGUCCAUGCCGUAAACGAUGAGUGCUAAGUGUUGGGAGGUUUCC
rnacentral:rRNA from 1 species